GCCAAUGUGGUCUAGUGGUUUCAGCAUUGGACAAUGACUCUGGAGACCAGGGUUCAAUUCCCUGCUCAGCCA